ensembl:lncRNA
GCGAAUUGAGCGACCAAAUCGCCGGAAGUCAUUCACUUUCUAUGGGCAAGAGCGACCAAAGCGACCAACGCUACCAGCGGCCAAAGUUGAGCGACCAGAGCGUCAAAAAGAAGUUGAAACCUUUUUAACUUUAUGCAAAUGACUAUGACGCGCUUCAGCGGCCAAACACUGACAGCCAAUCGGAAUGUAGACGCUCUUCGCUUGCGUGGAUCCCAGGGAACACCGGCAGGCACUUUGGUUCCUACCUACCUUCAUUCACUCGCUGAACAAAAUGUCGGCUGAAGUACUAAUCGCGGCUGUAACUGGGCACCCGGUGUUGUACGACCCAACCCUUUUUCAGUUUAGAGAUCGGAACUCCAAGGCCCUGGCCUGGGCGGAGGUGUCACGCGUGGUUGGUUUGUCCGUUAAUGAGUGCAUCAAGAAGUGGAAGGGUCUCAGGGACACCUACAGGAAGAAUAGGAAAAAGGAAAAGAGGAGGAGUGGUGCAGGGGCAGGUGGAGGGAAGCCAUGGAAGUAUGCCCGCAUAAUGGCCUUCAUAGAUCCAUUCAUGGAAGACCGCCAUAGCCAGACCAACAUGGCAGGGCCAGUGAGUGAGACUGAGGAGGACACAGACCAGGCAGCACCAGGGAGAGCACCGGUCGAGGACCAGGACGCACCGGGGAGAGCACAGGCCGCUGACCGGCUAGCACCACAGGCCGCUGACCGGCUAGCACCACAGGCCGCUGACCGGCUAGCACCACAGGCCGCUGACCAGCUAGCACCACAGGCCGCUGACCAGCUAGCACCACAGGCCGCUGACCGGCUAGCACCAAAGGCUGAGGAGCAGGCAGCAGGAAAGAGCAGGAGAAAGACAGGACGAGGCAGAGACCAGACUCGUGAUGCUCUUGAUGCGGAGAGGCUCAUCACAGCUAUAGAGGCUGUUAGCAAUCGAGUAGUGAGUCAGAGUCCUCCAGAGGACUCUGACUCACUAUUCUUCCGAAGCCUCCAAGAGGAUUUUAAAAAGCUGUCUCUUAAGACUAGAGAGGAUCUAAAGUUCCAAAUGUACAGGAUGGUGUACGAGGCCAAGUGUCGUGAGGUUGGCAUGUGGGAUGAGGGGAACG